AUAGCCUAUACCAAAGAUGGAAAGUAGUUCUUCCUAUUUCAUUUAAGAGCAUUACAAUGCUUUGUAAAUGUUCAUAAUUAUUUUCUUUUUUGGUCAUUUCAAGCAUGUAGUGAAAAACAUUUCAUAAAAGUGGCAUAUUCCCUGUAAGAUAAAGUGAAAGCAGCAGCCAGCAAUGAACUUGUCAUUGCUGAACCGGACACUGAUACUUACAAAGGCAGCAGUUUGCUGAAUACUGCUGAUUUAGAGAUGAUCAAGUUUAUUCUAACUUUUGGAGCCGGCGUUUACGCUGGCAUCUACGCUUGCCAAAAUUACAAUAUCCCGCGGGUCGAUGAUCCAUCAGAAAUAAUGGACAAAGUUCGAGAGUUCACCGACAAAUACAAGAAGAAUUGAUAAAGAGCCGUUUUAGCACCUGGCUGGUGCAGCAGCCGGUGAAGGACCGUGGAGUCUGGUCCGAAGCCGACCGCACCAGCCAGCCGUCAGACCCCGUGUAUUCCAGUGUGGCAGAUCAGUCAACUGCCUGACACAGCGCCCCGAUCGAAUGAAGCUCCUGCCGCCGUGAUCACCGCCGCGUAUAUAAACACUGUUGGAACUAUGACGUGUAUUUUCAUGUAAAUAGAGCAGUAUCCACUGACGAA